AUUCAUACGGGACCGUACGAUUAGCCCACUUCCUUUAGCGUAGUCACGGACGUAUCCGAAUGAUGGCGGUUGUGUCACUGAAACCGAAAGUAACAUUUUUUAUAUCCGCCACCAUCGGUGGAAUCUGUCAAUUUACAGCCUGUGUUCAAGUUUGAUCCAAAUUUUAAGAACCCAUGUUGGUUCGAGAAUGACCAGUUUCAAUGCCUGCCUUACGUUUAUGUUAUUGGCGUUAAGAAGAGUGGAACUGGCGAUCUUUUCUACAGACUGUCUCUCCAUCCAGAUUUUAUUAGACCCGGUUUCAAGGAAGCACAGUGGUUUGCUCGUAAAAGAUUUUGGUCAGGCGGUAUUUAUGACGAUAUUCAUGAAUAUGUUUUCAUGUUUCGCAAAUCUGCUAAGAAGAUAUUGGAUUAUUCAAACACUUCGUCCGGUGGUCGCUUCUAUAAUUACGAACAUGUAACGGGCAAGUAGAACAAAUACGGUAUUGGCAUAUCUAAUUUAGUCUUGUAUACGGGUAUAUUAAACUUUUAACUGUAACGAUAGAUCGUCUUUAGUCAAGCGCCUUGAAAACGUCUUAAACCUCAUGAAGUGUUUUGAUAUGAGGUGCAUGACUCUGAAACAACAGAUUCGCUUGAUAUAUUGACGUUUAGAACUAUAUCCACCAUCAAAGUAUCUCCUCUGAAUGAAGUAGAUUUUAAGUUUAUACAAUA
rnacentral:misc_RNA from 1 species